UGGGGAAUCUUGGACAAUGGGGGCAACCCUGAUCCAGCGACGCCGCGUGGGUGACGAAGGCCUUCGGGUUGUAAAGCCCUUUUCCCGGGGACGAUGGUGACGGUACCCGGGGAACAAGCGCCGGCCAACUCCGUGCCAGCAGCCGCGGUAAGACGGAGGGCGCUAGCGUUGUCCGGAAUCACUGGGCGUAAAGGGCGCGCAGGCGGCCGCGUCAGUCGGGCGUGAAAGCCCGGGGCUCAACCCCGGGACGGCGCCCGGGACGGCGCGGCUGGAGGCCGGGAGAGGGGGGUGGAAUAGCCAGUGUAGAGGUGAAAUUCGUAGAUAUUGGCUGGAACACCGGUGGCGGAAGCGGCCCCCUGGCCCGGCCCUGACGCUGGGGCGCGAAAGCGUGGGGAGCAAACAGG
rnacentral:rRNA from 1 species